rnacentral:piRNA from 1 species
UAGAUUUGGUGGGUGGCUUUAUUGCC